UGUGCGCUCGCCCAACAAGAAGGGACAUGUCGUCGACCUCUGCGAGCAAGCGAUGGUGGUGAGAGUCUGCAAUAGAGAACGGACUUGAAAACGGCGUCCACGGAUUGCAUUGUCAGAGGCGGUACCUUGUAGAGGCAAGGCCUAUGGGGCGGCAUCUAGGCCCUGAUGACGGCAACGGUUGUUCUUCCGGUGCAAAAGCACCAGAGUCGAGUUAUGUCACCACCAUAAUGAUGAACGGCGACCCGUCUUUGAAAAUCAAAUGAGCGGAAGCAGAAUGCCUCCUUUUAUACCGUAAGUAACAUUUUAUCUCCAGGAUUUUAUCGACUUUCUCGACUCCAA